rnacentral:rRNA from 1 species
CCCUUAGAUGUUCUUGGCCGCACGCGCGCUACACUGAUGCAUUCAACGAGUUUCUUCCUGGUCCGAGAGGAAUGGGUAACCUUUUGAAAGUGCAUCGUGAUAGGGAUAGACUAUUGCAAUUAUUGGUCUUCAACGAGGAAUUCCUAGUAGACGUAGUUCAUCAGACUGCAUCGAUUACGUCCCUGCCCUUUGUACACACCGCCCGUCGCUCCUACCGAUUGAAUGCUCAGGUGAGCCAUUCGGACUUUCAUCAUGCUGGUUUCCAGUUUUGAUGAAGGAAAGUCUUGCGAACCUUAUCAUUUAGAGGAAGGAGAAGUCGUAACA